UAUAUAAACGUUAACUACAUUUACCCACAUUUUGACUACAUUUUAACUACAAACUGGAAACAUUGCAGCAUCUACUACUAUUUUUGUUUUUUGUCCUGCACCAGACAAGAAUAUAUUACCUUUAGUUUCUGGGAUAAUGUAUUGUUACCUUCCAAUUCUUUGUUGAAUUUGUGCCAAGUUAUGUGAAAGUACCCUUUGCCUUCAAUAACUUAUCUUUUGUCCAACGUUCUGGAAUAGUCCUCAUAUACUCAAAUAGAUCAAAUAUUGGCAGCUCUCUUGCCUAUUUUGUUACAGCGUUCAACGACUCUGCAAUGUUUGACGUCAUAGUAAAAGUUCUAUUCACCGUUGCAUGCACUCUUGACCAUCUAUGAUAGCCAAUAUCAUAUAGGUAAGACGAUACAU
rnacentral:lncRNA from 1 species